GAUUUUUGCGUGCUUGUUUUUAUAGAACAGUUUAUAUAUGGUCCAAAAAUUUAUCAUAAAAUCAUAAAUAAAAAUAUCUUGUUCGGAGAAUGAUAGUACUAUAACAGUGGUUCCAGUCAGUCAAAAGAGUCAGAUUUUGACGAGUAUGGUCAUAUUGGGUACGCACUAGAGCCAGGGUAUACCGAAGAAGAGCUCCAUAAAAUGGAAGCUGCAGAAAGUUCCCGAAAUCAAGAUAUCCUUAGCAACCAUCGCUAGUUUUUAAAACACAGAUUGGUGUUCGUGUACUAACUGCAUACUUAUGCCGUUAUUAACGGAAUGUCUAUGUUGCCACUAAUUUACUCUCUUUGAUCGUAAUAUUGAAUUGGGUGAAUGCAUAAGUAACAGCAUCGAUUUCAUAACAGUUUGUCUGAACCCGGUUGUUCUUGAAACUAACUAUAUAAGUUUUUUUUAAGUACAAUCGUAUUCAUAUUAUACAUGUUAAAUGAAUGAACAAAUAUUAAACCUAUCUGUUUAUUGUUUUCCGUCCAUGUCUGCUCAUCGCCAGAAAUAAAGUUUGUCGCACGAAAAAAUGGUGUUAAUUCCAGAGUCAAAAUUUAAAGAACUUAUUUUCCAUGUUUUCUGGUAUUGUUCGAAAGAGAAUUGACCUAACAGAAGAAUUACUAUCUUAGGCUGUCAGUAACACAUGUAGAGUAGUGGGUCGUUGUUGGACAUGCAAAUCUUAUAAAGUGUAUCAUCUGUUAAAUUUGCAGGUCACUGAAAGGGGAAGUUCCAUACGGAAGUAGGUUUUGAGAUUGAUUUUUUUUUAUAUCCAGUGACACAUUUUACAUGCGUAUUCUUGAACGUUUGAUACAUCAUUUACUCUCAAAUUGCAAAAAACGAAAACUUCCACUUGUAUUUAUAGUAUUUGUUGAAAUAGUCCUCGUCUCACAACGUAUAAUACUCUAUCUAUUUGACCAACGAUGUUCAAAAACAAAAGACAGCGAAUUUUAUGUCAUCUUUCCCUAUUUUUGAAUGUAACUUAUAAGGCUGUUCAACUGGCAAGAAUACCGCCAGAGACAUAUAUACAUGUCUCUGAUACCGCUAAAGCGAACAAGCAGUUUAUUCUUUAAAUUGCUAUCAUAUCACGGCAAGAAAGAAAAUAAAUCCCGAAAUUGAUUUGAAACUUUAAUACUCAAUAGUUUUCCUAGAAAAUACUCACACCCCUUUGGGAUUAUUAGUGUACGUCCAGUUGCAUAUAUUUUACAUGAAUGUCGGAACAAUUGUGAUGAUGACGAAUUUCUUCCUUUAUUCGAGAACAAUCUAAUUGAUACAUAAAACUGGGAUUUUACUAUGUUCAUAACUUCGAUGAACCAAAGCAAGAUAUAUAUCGACCUGUAUUUAAAUCAAACUGGUCUUCUUCUUCUUCUUCUUCUUCUUUUGGUAUACAAUAUAGUCUGAUACAUGUAUAUAUUUUAAAUUGCACUAUAGUUCCGUAACUUUCUAUCCAGGCGUAUAAGCCAACAUCGACAAGUGCGUACAUUUUUUAAAUCAAUAUUUUUGGUAUGUACCAGUCUGUCCUUUACUAUAAUUGACAAAUUACAUUUUCCCAAAUUAACCCUCGGAAAAAAUAUAUGUAUAUAGAUUUUUAUUUCUUCAAAUCUUUUUUUUUUUUUGUGGUAUUUUUUUAUAUUUUCAUAAAUAAUAUUCUUUACACCAGAAAUGUUAUUUAUAAACAAGCGUACGAGUUAAAUUAUUGGCAUCAUAUCACUUUCGGACACACAAGACAGAGAUGUGUAUUAUACACCUGAUAGUUCAAAAUGGAAAGUUAUAAGUCUGCCGUGUACACUGAUCAAUACCUACAGAAGUGAAACGAUGCAUGAACUUGCAAGCCCGACAGGAAAUCGCUUGAAUACCCGGACGUGUCACCUGAGUCCUCACACCCCUCACAAUACCUUUGGGAGUAAUACCUUUAGCCAUGCUGGUGAUCAGAUGAGGAAAGAUCCGAAUUUAUUUGAAUAAAGUUUAUUACUUUAAAGAAUUAUGAACGAAUUAGAUUUUUGAAAACAAUUUUCACGGAACACUUAUUUAUUAUUUGAACUGUGACUCUUUAACUAAUUCCAAUAUUAACAGUUAUAAAAAUAACAGAUAAUAAUAAUGGUCAUUUAAAAAAAAAUAAGAACAUUUUCCGUAUCAAGUUUAUAGUUAGUCAGAUAAAACAAUCGUACGAUUGACAAGAUAUCGACACGCAAUUACGACUACAUCGGUUACUGUAGUUUUGGUCCUUUGUGUUUUAUAGACAUAUCGUGAUUAUAAUCGUAGAAGAUGACAAGAUGGCGGAGCGUAGAAAAUUGAUACUCAAAUUUUAAAAUCGAUGUUGAUCUCUUAUCUAGCGGAAUAAAACUUUAAUAUCUAUAAAUUUGAGCCUUUUUAUACAGAAUGGACAUAAUAUCAAUUUUUGAUUUUUUUGCGAAGUUUCCCUUUAAAAU
rnacentral:lncRNA from 1 species